rnacentral:rRNA from 1 species
UACGUAGGUGGCGAGCGUUGUCCGGAUUUACUGGGCGUAAAGCGCGCGCAGGCGGUUCUGUAAGUCCUGGGUGAAAUCGCCCGGCUCAACUGGGCGGGGGCCUGGGGGACUGCGGGACUGGAGGGGCCUAGAGGCCGGUGGAACUCCCGGUGUAGUGGUGAAAUGCGUAGAGAUCGGGAAGAACACCAGUGGCGAAGGCGGCUCUCUGGGACGGUACUGACGCUGAGACGCGAAAGCGUGGGGAGCGAACAGG